UGGGCAACCUGCCCUCAGCUCUGGGAUAACCCCGGGAAACCGGGGCUAAUACCGGAUACGACCUCCGCGGGCAUCUGCGGAGGUGGAAAGGUUUUCCGGCUGAGGAUGGGCCCGCGGCCUAUCAGCUAGUUGGUGGGGUAACGGCCUACCAAGGCGACGACGGGUAGCUGGUCUGAGAGGACGACCAGUCACACUGGAUCUGAGAUACGGUCCAGACUCCUACGGGAGGCA
rnacentral:rRNA from 1 species